AGAGUUUGAUCCUGGCUCAGAUUGAACGCUGGCGGCAUGCCUUACACAUGCAAGUCGAACGGUAACAGGUCUUCGGACGCUGACGAGUGGCGAACGGGUGAGUAAUACAUCGGAACGUGCCCAGUCGUGGGGGAUAACUACUCGAAAGAGUAGCUAAUACCGCAUACGAUCUGAGGAUGAAAGCGGGGGACCUUCGGGCCUCGCGCGAUUGGAGCGGCCGAUGGCAGAUUAGGUAGUUGGUGGGAUAAAAGCUUACCAAGCCGACGAUCUGUAGCUGGUCUGAGAGGACGACCAGCCACACUGGGACUGAGACACGGCCCAGACUCCUACGGGAGGCAGCAGUGGGGAAUUUUGGACAAUGGGCGAAAGCCUGAUCCAGCAAUGCCGCGUGCAGGAUGAAGGCCUUCGGGUUGUAAACUGCUUUUGUACGGAACGAAAAAGCUCCUUCUAAUACAGGGGGCCCAUGACGGUACCGUAAGAAUAAGCACCGGCUAACUACGUGCCAGCAGCCGCGGUAAUACGUAGGGUGCGAGCGUUAAUCGGAAUUACUGGGCGUAAAGCGUGCGCAGGCGGUUAUGUAAGACAGAUGUGAAAUCCCCGGGCUCAACCUGGGAACUGCAUUUGUGACUGCAUGGCUAGAGUACGGUAGAGGGGGAUGGAAUUCCGCGUGUAGCAGUGAAAUGCGUAGAUAUGCGGAGGAACACCGAUGGCGAAGGCAAUCCCCUGGACCUGUACUGACGCUCAUGC
rnacentral:rRNA from 1 species